rnacentral:misc_RNA from 1 species
GCUCUAACUAAUCAAAUAACUAUUUAAAAUUUUAAAUGUUUAUAAGCUCAAAUUAGCAUAUAAACAUUAAGUGCUUAUAAGCUAAGCCAAACACCCUCUACAAGCAUAUGACCAAAUGAUGUCCCAUGGAACUUGUAAAUAAAGGUCGUUACAUUUAUAUUAUUUUGGAGAAUUAUUGAAGUUUCUCUCCUACAAAUUGAACAAGAAAAGAGGAGGGAGGGUGGUUUGAGGGAAUACAAAACUAGAAAAGAAAGUGUACCUUUGGCAUUCAAUUAAUGGAUAAGAUUAAUAAUGAGCAAUUUUUGAAAUAAAAGUACUUGAUUGUUAAAAUUUAUAUUUAACGAAAAAAAACUUUUAGGACUUGACUGCAAAAGCAAAUACACUUCUAUGAUUUCAGAUGUUAUUCCUUGAUUGAUAAGGAUGAAAAGUUGAUUUAAAAAAAAAAAAGAAGAUUUAUUA